rnacentral:rRNA from 1 species
GCACAAGCGGAGGAGCAUGUUGGUUUAAUUCGAUGAUACGCGAGGAACCUUACCUGGGCUCGAACGUAAGAUGACUGUAGGUGAAAGCUUACAUCUCUUCGGAGCAUUUUACGAGGUGCUGCAUGGUUGUCGUCAGCUCGUGCCGUGAGGUGUCGGGUUAAGUCCCAUAACGAGCGCAACCCUACCUUUAGUUGCCAUCAGGUAAUGCUGGGGACUCUAAAGGAACUGCCUACGCAAGUAGUGAGGAAGGCGGGGAUGACGUCAAAUCAGCACGGCCCUUACGUCCAGGGCUACACACGUGCUACAAUGGCCGAUACAGAGGGCAGCUACCUGGUGACAGGAUGCAAAUCUCCAAAGUCGGUCUCAGUUCGGAUCGGAGUCUGCAACCCGACUCCGUGAAGUUGGAUUCGCUAGUAAUCGCGCAUCAGCCAUGGCGCGGUGAAUACGUUCCCGGGCCUU